rnacentral:rRNA from 1 species
UACAGAGACUGCGAGCGUUAUUCGGAUUCACUGGGCGUAAAGUGUGCGCAGGCGGCCGAGCAAGUCGAGUGUGAAAGCCCCGGGCUUAACUUGGGAAUUGCGCUCGAAACUACUUGGCUGGAGUGUGGCAGAGGGGGGUGGAAUUCCACGUGUAGCGGUGAAAUGCGUAGAGAUGUGGAGGAACACCAAUGGCGAAGGCAGCCCCCUGGGCCAACACUGACGCUCAUGCACGAAAGCGUGGGGAGCAAACAGG